rnacentral:rRNA from 1 species
UACAGAGGUCUCAAGCGUUGUUCGGAUUCAUUGGGCGUAAAGGGUGCGUAGGCGGCGUGUUAAGUCACUUGUGAAAUCUCUGAGCUUAACUCAGAACGGUCAAGUGAUACUGAUGUGCUAGAGUGCAGAAGGGGCAACCGGAAUUCUUGGUGUAGCGGUGAAAUGCGUAGAUAUCAAGAGGAACACCUGAGGUGAAGACGGGUUGCUGGGCUGACACUGACGCUGAGGCGCGAAAGCUAGGGUAGCAAACGGG